GACAGAGGUGCCGAGCGUUAGGCGGAAUCACUGGGCGUAAAGCGUGCGCAGGCGGUUAUGCAAGACAGAUGUGGAAUCCCCGGGCUCAACCUGGGAACUGCAUUUGUGACUGCAUGGCUAGAGUACGGUAGAGGGGGAUGGAAUUCCGCGUGUAGCAGUGAAAUGCGUAGAUAUCGGGAGGAACACCGAUGGCGAAGGCAGCACUCUGGGCCGGCACUGACGCUGAGGAGCGAAAGCGUGGGGAGCGAACAGG
rnacentral:rRNA from 1 species